rnacentral:lncRNA from 1 species
AGCAUGUCUUAAUUGAGUUCACAUUUGGGGAAGUCACGAUUGUAUCACAGCGUCGGGAGCGCUAGUGUCUAGCCCUUGUCUAGGAAAAGAAAGUCAGAAUGUGAAUGCCCGAAACCAAGGAGGAUCUCUUUGUGCUGGUGCUAGUGCGAUGAAACCUGCAGUAAUGUAAACCGAUACAUGUGACAAAUUUCCUUGCCAUGCUUCAAAAGCGUGUAUGAGGCUCUUUUGAGGGAAUAAAUUUAGCACACAGCUCAGAGACUUGCACUCCCUACAAAUCGAUGGGAGGAAGAGAAGAUGGAGAAUUGGCAUCCAGCAGGUUUCCUUUGAACGAUCAAGACAAAAAGUGGUCAGCAAACAAAAAUUAUCCUCUAGGUGAGGCUUCCCUGACAAGGUUGUCACGCCCACAUGCCACACCCUGGUGGGCAAGGAUGAUCCCAGAUAACUCGUUGGAGAGUGCACUCGGUGAACCUAGACUCUUUCAACUGAAGUACCGUAUCGAAUGUGGUGCAGGCUUGGCAGCCUACAUUGUUAUACUGGCUAUUUCGGGUUUUGCAGAGGGGUGCGGACUCCACUGCCUCCAGAUGACUCUGCUAUUUGUGAUGCUACCGACACAUUAUUGAAGGAUAGUAAUCCACAUCAUGCUUGCAUGGCAGGAUCCGCGGGUUGCCAUGGUGGUACCAGCUCAUCACUGGGCUCUGUGGGAUAUUUGCAAUUUUCUUCCUGUGUGUCACUUCCCACAUAGAUCCUGGGCUCAUACCGUGCAGUGCUACAAAAG